CCCCUGGACUCUACAUGUUCUCCCUGCCCAUCCUACUGUCACUGCCCUUCUAAUACUGUCCACUCUGCCCACUGAAGCCUCUACUCCACAGUAAAUAAGCUCUCCCCUUGGUCUUCAGCCUUUCCUAGAUCUCCCUUAGCUGUAUGACUGAAAUGAAAUCAGAACUCCCUGAAAUGUGUGAUGGGGAUAAGCUGGAAACAAUGUCUAACUUCUCAUGCCUAUGUGCCUACUCUGUUCUACUCUAGUGUAAAAACAUUGUGGUGUUUUUCCUUUUGUUUUGUAGAGACAGGAUCUCAUUUGAUCACCCAGGCUGGAGAAUGCAGUGGUACGAUCACAGCUCAUUGUAACCUGGAACUCCUGGGCUCAAACACUUCUCCCGCCUCAGUCUCCCACGUGAGUUUACAGAGUGACACAUCAUCCAUCAAAAAUGUGAGUGUGAGGAUGGUGGGGCCAUCCUGGCAUGCUGAGCAGCAGGGCCCUCCAAGCUAUCAGAUGCCAUCCAGCCAGGUGUCUGGGGGCCACUCGCCAUGCACAGCAUUUUCUAGUGGAGGUGAGCUAAGAGGAGGGAGAGGAUAA
rnacentral:lncRNA from 1 species